rnacentral:tRNA from 1 species
AGAGGGGUAGUUUAAUCGCAAAACACGGGGUGUCCAAACCUACGUAUGGAGGUGCAAAUCCUUCUCCCUCCG